UCCCUCGUGGCGCAAUUGGAUAGCGCGUUAGACUGUUAUGAUCUCUCAUACCAGCCAGGUCUCUUGGUGAUCUAAAGGUUGGUGGUUCGAGCCCACCCGAGGGAG
rnacentral:tRNA from 1 species